UACGGAGGGGGCUAGCGUUGUUCGGAAUUACUGGGCGUAAAGCGCGCGUAGGCGGCUUUGUAAGUCAGAGGUGAAAUCCCGGGGCUCAACUCCGGAACUGCCUUUGAAACUGCAUCGCUUGAAUCCGGGAGAGGUGAGUGGAAUUCCGAGUGUAGAGGUGAAAUGCGUAGAGAUGUGGAGGAACACCGAUGGCGAAGGCAGCCCCCUGGGCUAACACUGACGCUCAUGCACGAAAGCGUGGGGAGCAAACAGG
rnacentral:rRNA from 1 species